rnacentral:lncRNA from 1 species
GCUAUAGAUACUUUAGAACUUACAGGUUCUCUUCCUACAGAAAUGGGAGAGACCAGGAUAAGAACCAGAGGAAAUAGAGUAUUCUAGUUUGUUGGACCAAAGCAUAAAAGAAGGGCGAAAGUUUAGAUAUUCCUAACAAUAUGAAGGAAAUUAAUUCUGAAGACCUCUAACAGUCCUGGAAGUCUUGGAUUUGAUCUGUUUAUGUAUGCAAGUGUGAAAAGGAUUAAGGGAAGGAGAAGGAAGAAGGAAUGAAGAGUGGAUAAGAUAGAAGGAAAAAGGAGACGCAUGAAGGAAAUUGGAGAAAAACUCAAGAAAACAACUUU